rnacentral:lncRNA from 1 species
AUGCCAGAUAUUCUUUGGUACUCCACUCAGAUAAGUUUUCAUACAUAGAAAAAUCAUUUAUGGUCCAUAAAAUUGAAGCAUACAACUUAAAAUUUUUUUGACUGAUAAAAUCAUAUGUUUAUAUUCUAUUUUUCUAUAGCUCCUUCAGAUCAUCAAUUAAGGAUUGUAGAUAUACAUCAAUUUUAUUACUUGAUGCUUUCGGACCCA